rnacentral:rRNA from 1 species
UACGUAGGGUGCGAGCGUUGUCCGGAAUUAUUGGGCGUAAAGGGCUCGUAGGCGGUUUGUCGCGUCGGGAGUGAAAUCCACUGGCUUAACUGGUGGCUUGCUUUCGAUACGGGCAGACUGGAGGUAUGCAGGGGAGAACGGAAUUCCUGGUGUAGCGGUGAAAUGCGCAGAUAUCAGGAGGAACACCCGUGGCGAAAGCGGCUCUCUGGAACGGUACUGACGCUGAGACGCGAAAGCUAGGGAGCGAACAGG